rnacentral:rRNA from 1 species
AGUGAACGCUGGCGGUAGGCCUAACACAUGCAAGUCGAACGGCAGCACAGUAAGAGCUUGCUCUUACGGGUGGCGAGUGGCGGACGGGUGAGGAAUACAUCGGAAUCUACUUUUUCGGGGGGGAUAACGUAGGGAAACUUACGCUAAUACCGCAUACGACCUACGGGUGAAAGCAGGGGAUCUUCGGACCUUGCGCGAUUGAAUGAGCCGAUGUCGGAUUAGCUAGUUGGCGGGGUAAAGGCCCACCAAGGCGACGAUCCGGAGCUGGUCGGAGAGGAGGACCGGCCCACCUGGAACUGGAACCCGGUCCAACCCCCUACGGGGGGCACCAGUGGGGAAUAUUGGACAAUGGGGGAAAGCCUGAUGCAGCCAGACCGGUGGGGGGAAAAAGGCCUUGGGGUUUUAAAGCCCUUUUUUUGGGAAAGAAAAGCAGGAGGGUAAAACCCCGACGUUGUGACGGUACCCAAAGAAAAAGCAACGGCUAACUUCGUG